rnacentral:lncRNA from 1 species
UUAAUGUCAUCAUUUAAGAUGACAUAUUUUCCAGUUAAGUAGUUGGGGUGAAAAAAGGCAAACCCAAGUGCUAUUUUUUUGAAAUGCUUUCUUACAAUGUUGGUCCCUGACUAGUAGUUAGGAACUUGGAUAUUGAGAGGGUUCCCACCAUAAAUUACCAUAAAUUAACCUAGGUACCUUGUGGUCAGAGAGCAGAUAAAUGAUAUUAAAACUCUGAUAUUUUUGAGACUUAUUUCCAGGCCUAGUAUAUGUUUAGUUUCCAAUGAUGAUGCAGGUAUGUUUAUAAAAAAAGUAUGUGUAUUGUGAAAUUAUUAUUUGCAGUUGUAUGUAAGUACUGUCAGAUUUAAAAACCAUACAGUGUAAUAGCCCUAAUUGAUUCUAUUCAGUGACUUCCUGAGGAUUAUAGCUCAGGAGGCAGCCUUUUUGGGUAUCUCUGAAAAGCUGUUCUGAAGAAGUAUGUGGAGUUUAGUAUCCAUGUCAUUUUCGCUAAGGCUAUGUGCAACCAAGCACACAUCCCAGUAAAACAUCGCUGCUAGUCAAUGAGGAACAGAUAUCUUAGUUAAUAGUUUUAGUGCUUUUCUAAGUAUGGGAAAAUGCAAGGAUUAGGGUUCAUUAAAUUUUCUCCUGAAAAUAACUCUCUAAAGUCCUGUUCUGCCAAUUUUCCUAGAGCACAGACUACCUCAUUCCUGACUUCCAUGCUGAAUUCCCUUCAGGGUGUGUCAAAAGCAUGGAGAAGUUCCAGAACCAGGAAUCAAACCUGCACCGUAGCUGCAACUGAAGUCACAGCAGUGACAAAGCUGGAUCCUUAACCUGCUGCACCACCAGGGAACUCCAAUUUUUUCUAAUAUUUUAAUUCUAUCUUUUCUAAUUAGAAAAAAAUAGAUAUUACUAUUGCCAUUGUUGUUUACAUGUCACAUUGGUUUAGAAUUGCCCACAUAUUGUCUUUCUCUAACAAAAGAUCUGAUAAAUAAUCACAUCUACUUGUUCAGACUCUGAACUAAUUAAAAGAUAAGCAAGGAUUCAAACAUAUGGGGAAAAAAUGACAUAUUCAAGAAUGUGGCUUAAAUCUGCAGGCAAGAGAGUUUCAUGAUACUGAGCCACAGAAAGAAACUUUAUCCACACUCCAAUGAAAAUAGGGGUCCAUCUCAAUGUGAGAGUACUCCCCUAGAAAUAUGGAUCGAGGAUCAGCAUGGACCUUGUGCAUGCUAGCCAUAGGCAUCUGAUUACAAACAGUGUACAGCACCAGUUCUUUUGUUAUAUGUUAAGUACCAUAUAAUAGAAAGUUUUGUAAUCAAUGUAAAAUCCUCUGUUCUGCCCCUUUCUUAAGAAUUUGUAGCACUUAAAUGAAGAUGAAAGUUUAAAUCUGCUUUUCUUUUUAGGGCUGUACUAUGGCAUAUGGAAGUUUCUGGGCUAGGGGUUGAAUUGGAGCUGCAGGUGCCUGCCUACACCACAGCCACAGCAAAGCUGGAUCCAAGCCACAUUGCAACCUACACCACAGCUCAUGGCAAUGCCAGAUCUUUAGCCCAUUGAGUGUGGCCAGGGAUCAAACCCAAGUCUUCAUGGAUACUAGUCACGUUCAUUACCACUGAGCCACAACAGGAACUCCUAAAAUGAUUUUCUUAAACUACAAUUCUCUGAUAAUAUUUUUAAUUUUUUUUUAUAAUUUCUAGGGAGAACAAGAUAUCAAAGGGUUGACACAGGAGCAUAUAACACUGUGGUAUUUAAAAUAUAUAGCAAAUAGCUAUAUAUAUAUAUAUAUAAAGAGAGAGAGAGCAUGAGACAGAGAGAGAGAGAAGUGUUUUCAACGAAUUCUAGGGGUCAAGAUCAGAGCUCUUUCCUUGAAGAACUGAGCUAGUAGGCAAAUCAUUUAAGUAAUGAUUGUGCAAAGGAUAUAUAAGAAUCAGUCAUUAAAGCUGAGGUAAAAUCAGGGAUAGCACAUUGAAAUUUUGGCAGAAAUGAUAUCAUUAAUAUACAGGCCAAAGUUUAAAAUUUAAUCAGAAAGCUAAAUAUUGCACUAGCUUCAGGAUGGGACUAGGCGUUCUCUUGUGGUAUAGCAGGUUAAGGACCCAGUGUCACCACUGCUAUAGCAUGGAUUUGACCCCUGGCUUGGGAACUUCCACAUGCCACAGGUGUGGUCAAAAUCUUAAAUAAAUCAAUAAAGGAUGGAUUAGUGUUCCAUGACUGUCCUAUAUGGAAAAUGAGAUGAUGACCAGCACCUAGAGACACAAGUGUGGCAGGAGUCAGAAUUAACUGGCCCACUCUACUUGUAGAAUAAAAUCUUUUUCUAAAACCCACAAACUAAUAGAUUAGGGUUUGGAGGGCAAGUCAGCAAGAGUAGCUCCUUAUCUACAUGGGUCAGGCCCAUUGAUUGUUUACAAGUGAAGAGAUGGAAUAUAAUACAUAUUAGUAGUGGACAUGACCCUUGGCCAAGAAUUCCAGAGUCUUCCUUGCACAUGCUAUUUACAUGAAGUACUGCAGUAGUCAGAGUAUACCACCUCCACGGAUGUCUCUAGUAGAUGAGAAUUUAAGACUGUACAGAGAGAGCAAAAUGAGCAUGGGAAGGAAAGUAUAGUUAGUUCACAGAACUUUCAGUGCUGUAGCUGCUAUUCAGUGUGAUGGGUGGAAAUAAACCACCCCAUGGGAGUGGAAUCUGUCCAGAGAAAGAGAGAAAUGGCUUAUGUGGGAAAAUGUUGGUUGGAGAAGCAUUUGACAGUUUUCAUCAGUUAUUAACACAAAGGUCAGAGAGAAUAAGUGUAGAGGGGGGAAAAGUGGGAAAAGUUUGGAAAAGUAAUAUCUAGAUUUUUAGAGGGAUUCUGAAGCCAUGAAUACCAAGGCUGGUCAGCAUGUUUUUUUUGUUUGUUUGUUUGUUUGUUUUGUUUGUUUUUUGUUUUGUUUUGUUUUUUGCUGAGAAAAACAGCAAGAGAAAACCAGCAAGAGAAAACAGAAGGUCGAUGUACUGAUGGAGUGAAGAUGAAUUUUUUCAAUCAUCUGACAACAAAUAUAUGCUUCAUGUGUUGUGAUCUCUGGCUGUCUCUGGGGCUUUGAUCAGUUAUGAAUGUUAUUUCAUCAUAUGCAUGACCUGUGGGGGAAGAAAUCCUAUAUAAAUGAUUGGGAUUACUGCACCAUGCACCUCACAGCUGCAUGAAGUUUGUAAAUAAUUGAACAAGAUUUUCAUGCCACAGCCAACCUCCCAGGUGAAUUAGAUAUAGUACACAUUAAAAUCAAAUAAAAAGUUAGAUCGCUGUAGUUCCAUCUGGGCUUGUUAUCAUGUGAAGUCCUGCUUGUAAUGAAGAAUACUCAAGGAUGACAUCUGAAACAAUAGUUCCUCAGGUUGAUGAGUUCAGUAAUGAAUCGCUCUGUUAUUUCCUUCCAAGACUGAUUAAAAUAGUACUUGAGCUUCUGAAAAUACUGAAGUGCUUAUAAAUGAAGCAAAAAAAGAUAUCUGGUGAAAAACAAGACAGGGCAUGCUCAUUCAGCGGUCAGUGUCUUUACAGCAAAAACAAAUCCCUUCAGCAAACUCAUGAAUGAAAACAUUGCUUUCAUGUUGAAUAAUUCUGAUUUUGUGAGAGAGCCUUCUCUCCAAGUGGGUUGAUCAUAACUUCUAUCUAAUGUAACUGGACCAACCUUAAGAAUCUAUUGUUUGUAGAUUCAUGAAUAGAGUCUGCCAGGGUAUAUAUCUUACCUAAUUAUGCAUUCAUUCAAGGAUCACAGAAAAAGCAUCAAAGUUUUAGUUUCUGUGGGUAAAAUAAAACUGAUGUAGAUUUAGCUUUGACAAGGAGGAGCACAUAGACAGGAAGAUAAUUAAUACCUGUUACUCACCAGAUUAAGCUAUAUUGUGAUAUAGUCCAUAGAAAAGCAUAAAGUAUUAUAAA